CAUGGCGCGCUUCCUCAGGC
rnacentral:misc_RNA from 1 species